UGUUGAGUUCUACGUCUCCUGUCUCAUUAACCCUGAUUUGUUGCCGAUGUGUUUCCUGGUGUUUCCCAUCUCCCUAAUUACCCGGAGUCUAUAUGUUCCCCAUGUCCUCCCCACUAGGUAGUGUGCUUCCCUCCUCUUCUGAUUCUCAGUUUUUAGUUGUGUAGCUCCAUCUCAGCUGUGUUUGAUUUAACAAAUAUUAAUAAAUCCACCCUUUGAGUUUAUAUUCCAUCUCUGGAGUACUGCACUGGGCUCUUAUUGCUGCCCUAAAAGAUUUAUCGUUCUUUUGUGUGCCUUUUGUGUAGCACUUUACACAGAUGAUCCAAGGCCUCACUUUGGUCCAGGUCACCCUAACAGACUGAUGAUGUAACUAAAUAUAAAACUGGGAGGAGCAAAAAAAUAUGACAUCAUGAUUGGCUCAUUGUGUGUUUUCUGUUUUCACAGCCUUCAACCUUUUGGCUUUAAGCAGCUGAAACAAAAACAAAACUCAAGUCAGGUUCCUCUGAAGACAUGCAGCCCUUUGUCCUUGGAUCAUGUGGUGGUGUGUUUCUGCAUGCGUGUGCAUUGUGGGAGAUCACACACACACACACACAGUGCAGCUGCCGGCCUCCUUGACUACCAGCCGUCAAACAAAAAAAAUCUUUUCAAAACCAGCCUCAGGAACCGACGGAGAGAUGAUUAAAUUCUCCAUGCAAGGAGUUCAAAAGCAAUAAAAAAUGAAAUGAAAACACGGGCGGUGUGCAACACAAAGACCUCAUUGUUGCUGCGCAAAGGAAUGCCUACAAGUGUGUGUGUGUGUGUGUGUGUGUGUGUGUGUGUGUGUGUGUGUGUGUGUGUGUGUGUGUGUGUCUGUGGGCAGAGGCCAUGAGGAAUGUGAGUUUUUGCAUGGAGACAAAAGGUGGCCUAUGACUGGGAGAGAGGCAGCGAGGAAGAGGCACAGAGAGGGAAACAGAGGAAGAAACAGACAGAAGGCAGGAGCUGCUCUCAUUUCUAUGCUAAUACGUUAGCUUACACUUGUGUUAGCGUUUGCAAAGAAAGGCGACGAGUUAAUCUCAAAGUUGUGUUUUGCUUUGCUUAGAAUGAGCUACAUGUUUAAUAUUUUUUUACUAAUGUUAAUAAAGAU